GGCCCUUUAGCUCAGUUGGUCAGAGCGUGCGACUCAUAAUCGCCCGGUCGCUGGUUCAGGCAAGGGUCACCA
rnacentral:tRNA from 1 species